GUGCUGUUAGUCUAGGGGUUAUGACUCCUCAUCGUGGCUGAGGCGGCCCGAGUUCGAUUCUCGGACGGCACU